UCCUGCACUGUAUCUUCCUAAAUUGACAUUCUCAGCCCACACUGGCACGCUGGCCUGGUGCCAUUCAACAGCACAAAUGACACAUCCCAAGCCUGAUACUUCCGUCCUCCUGCCCUCUCCACACUGCGUGUCCGUAAUCCUGCCCUCCACCCACUCCCCAACCCUUUGAAAUUUCUAAACCCCAGCAGAGGAAGCCCUGUAGGGCUCUUAAUAAGCUCAGUCAUGCUCGAAAUAUCCGUUUUACCCACAGGGUAUUGUAGGCAGCAAUUCCGACCAGAGCACAUCUCGGCACGAGAUCAUGGCCUCCAAAGCCCAGCGUUCAGAACUCCUAAGAGCACCGCUCUCAUGCAGUCCCACUGGAACACUUGGGAACUUCAAACAGUUUGGGGGUGGGAAAAAAACAUCCUCUCUGAUACUUCCACCUUCCACCUACACUGUGGGUUAGGAAACUCCUUCCUGUUGCUGUGGCCACGGAGGGUACAUAUCGCAACUCUCCUGGCUCUAGUGUUUGUGAAACCCACAGGAACUCUGCCACCACCUACACAGAAAGUCCCAUGCCAGAGACAACGACGCAUAAACAUUUUAUGUUAAGUUAGCCACAUGCUAAGAAAAUAUCAUCUUGAUCAGGUAUUUUUCUAGUUCUGUCUCACGUUCAAGUCUCAAGGCCCACGUGGAGGGGAGCACGGAAGUACACUGGUUGCAUAUCUUCUGCCCCACUGGAAGAUGCUUGGGAUUUCUGAAGAAACCACCUGUAAAUCAGUCUAUCCCUUAGGUAAUCGAGAAAGAGAGUCCAUGAAUUGUGUUUCAUUGAUGUGAGUCCUAUAGGUGCUUCCCCUUGGACAAGGAUAGGUACCAAGAACACCAUCCUGGGCUGGGGAGAUGGCUCAGUAGGUAAAGUGCCUGGUGUUCCACAAACAUAGGGCCUGCGUUUGGUUUCCUAGCAGCCAAAUAAAGCACAGGACUUGGCAACAGGACCCUGGGAUCUCCCUGGCUAGACGCCCUCGUUGAAAUAGCAACCUCUGGGUUCAGGGAGAUGUUGUAGUAAAGAUAAUAGUGAUAAUCAAGGUGGAGAUGGCUAGAGGAUGAUGGUCGACACCCACCGUCAACUGUGGCCUUCACCUGUGCACAUGCACACACAGGCAGCAAGUGCACCCCAUAUACUACACACACAGGCAGAAAGUGCACCCCAUAUACUACACAUACAGGCAGAAAGCGCACCCCAUAUACUACACACAUAGGCAGCAAGUGCACCCCAUAUACUACACACACAGGCAGCAAGCGCACCCCAUAUACUACACACACAGGCAGCAAGCACACCCCAUAUACUACACACAUAGGCAGCAAGCGCACCCACAUAUACAUAUACACAGUUUUU
rnacentral:lncRNA from 1 species